UCAUCUGAUUGGAUUAUAAAUGGAUUUUAAUCGACAUCUUUUAUUCUUCAUUCAGACUGAUUUACUGCAGUUUGUCAGAGACCAGCUGUGCUUUUCUGGUCUCAGCUCUGAAGUCCAACUCCUCCCAUCUGAGAGAGCUGGAUCUGAGCUGGAACAAGUUGUAUGACUCAGGAGUGAAGCAGCUGUGUGGUCCAGACUGUAAACUGGAGGCUCUGAGAUUGUGUGGCUGCAGUUUGUCAAAGACCAGCUGUGAUUCUCUGGCCUCAGCUCUGAAGUCCAACUCCUCCCAUCUGAGAGAUCUGGAUCUGAGAGACAACAACCUGAAGGAUUCAGACAUGAAGCAGCUGAUUGAUCUUCAGCAGAGUCCAGACUGCAGACUGGAGACUCUGAGGUCAGGUUAUUGAUCUCUGUCAGAGUGAGAGUGAACAUCCAGGAGUGUUGAGAGAGGAUCAGCUGGAUCCUGAUGAUCCAUCUGGAGUCUGGGUCUGGAUUUUGUCGUCUUCACUUAAGUCUCUUAACUGACUCCAAACUGAACAGUUAUCUCUGGAUUUAGCUGAAGAUAAAAACAGGUGUUAUAAGUCAGACUGUGAGCCUGGGCUCAUAUUUAUCAAGCAUCUCAGAAUCACACUGAGAGUUAACGAGGACUAAAACUAAUGAAUGAAGCAGAAGAGAAUUGACUGUGACUUUCAGCAGGAGAAGGAUUACUGCUGGGAGAGAGUGAGACGUGGCUGUUUUACCACAGUCAGAGCAGCAGAGUAGAAAUAAUGAUGACGUGUUGUAGUUUUCUCACAGUCUCAGCUGGAAAUAUGAAACAGUGGUCAUUUGGUAUAUUAUGUGUAUAGACAGGUAACCAGGCAG